GGCAUGCUGUUUGCCCAGGUCUCCCCCUCAGCAUGAGCAGAUGACAUUCUGGAGGCCUCCCCAGCCUUCUCCCUUCUCUGUGUGUUGCUGUUUCUUCCUCUGCCUGCUGUUGUUUUUUUUUUUUUUCCCUUACCCUUUGUUUCCUCCUUGGCUUUGUUUCAGGCCCUAUUUAGUUCCUUGUUAGCCUUUCUCUCUUCCUCUUCUUUGUUUUUCCUUUGCCUGUUUCCUCCUGUGCGUUCCUCCACCCCAUGGGCUGGCAUGCUUGUCUAUUGGCUUUCCUGUCUUCUUAUGCUUGCCUGCUUUGUUCUUUUCCCCACCCUGCCUUCCUCUUGCCUUGGCUUUCAAUUUCCUCCUUCCCAGGGCCCUCUUUCCUCCUGCCCAUUGCUCCCCCAGCCUGGAGGGCAUCUGCAGCAGCUAGCAAUGGCUUGAGGGCUAGAGCUGCUGGUCCCCAGGAGAGCCAGUUCCAAGUUACCCCCCAAGGCACAGACGGAGGAGCAGAGAACUCGUUGUCAGCAUCCAAGCGAUUGAGUGAGGGAGAGGUGGCAGUGAUGGGAAUGCAAGCCAGAUAAAUUUGGGUGCCAGAGUGAUGACCGGGGGCCCACAGACCCGUGGACAGAGGACCAUGUUAUAGGGCAUCGAAGCUCCCUUCUGGAAGCCAGCAGCUGGGUC
rnacentral:lncRNA from 1 species